AGAGAUUAUUGAGAGUGAGAGAGGCGACGACGUGGCCGAAUGUGAUUGGGUUUUAUUUGUAACAAAACCAAAAAAAUAAAGCACUAGUGCUUUGUUUCCUCCGCCAAAAAAGAACCCGACGGUUUCAUCUCUCUCUCUACAAAACAAAAAUCCGGUGGUAUGAUUUGCAAUUAGUCGACGGCGAUGAUGUGUGUAAUCGUGGAUCUGAGACGCCGGAUUUAUUUAAUUGGCAGACGCCGGAUUUGUGUUGAUGAGAUAGGUUCCAUUUUUUAUCUCUCAAUAAGAGAGACUGUUGGAAUCUCAUCUUUGUUAACAAUAUGCAACAGAGAUUGGAAGAGAAAGAUGUGAGAAGAUGGUGAGAGUAAGAACAAUCGUAACUCGUAAGCAAAAGAAGAAGAGAACAAGAAGAAGUGUGUUGUAGGUGGAAGAAGAACAAAUAAGAAAAAAAGAGACCACUCUGUUUUGUUUUGUUUUAUCUUAAUUGCGAGUGUGCUUCGUAAUCUUGUUAAUAUGCUAACAUACAAUUGUACUUGAGAAUUUAGUUCAACUUUGAAAAUGGUUCAGCCAUGAAAAUCAAUACAAUUCC
rnacentral:sRNA from 1 species